AUUGAACGCUGGCGGCAUGCUUUACACAUGCAAGUCGAACGGUAGCACAGAGAGCUUGCUCUCGGGUGACGAGUGGCGGACGGUUGAGUAAUGUCUGGGAAACUGCCUGAUGGAGGGGGAUAACUACUGGAAACGGUAGCUAAUACCGCAUAACGUCGCAAGACCAAAGAGGGGGACCUUCGGGCCUCUUGCCAUCAGAUGUGCCCAGAUGGGAUUAGCUAGUAGGUGGGGUAACGGCUCACUUAGGCGACGAUCCCUAGCUGGUCUGAGAGGAUGGACAGCCACACUGGAACUGAGACACGGUCCAGACUCCUACGGGAGGCAGCAGUGGGGAAUAUUGAACAAUGGGCGAAAGCCUGAUGCAGCCAUGCCGCGUGUAUGAAGAAGGCCUUCGGGUUGUAAAGUACUUUCAGCGGGGAGGAAGGUGUUGUGGUUAAUAACCACAGCAAUUGACGUUACCCGCAGAAGAAGCACCGGCUAACUCCGUGCCAGCAGCCGCAGUAAUAC
rnacentral:rRNA from 1 species